AGAGGCUGUCUGACUAAAGACAGGUUGUGGGUAGCUAGAGAGGCUGUCUGACUAAAGACAGGUUGUGGGUAGCUAGAGAGGCUGUCUGAAUAAAGACAGGUUGUGGGUAGCUAGAGAGGCUGUCUGAAUAAAGACAGGUUGUGGGUAGCUAGAGAGGCUGUCUGAAUAAAGACAGGUUGUGGGUAGCUAGAGAGGCUGUCUGACUAAAGGCAGGUUGUGGGUAGCUAGAGAGGCUGUCUGAAUAAAGACAGGUUGUGGGUAGCUAGAGAGGCUGUCUGACUAAAGGCAGGUUGUGGGUAGCUAGAGAGGCUGUCUGAAUAAAGACAGGUUGUGGGUAGCUAGAGAGGCUGUCUGAAUAAAGACAGGUUGUGGGUAGCUAGAGAGGCUGUCUGAAUAAAGACAGGUUGUGGGUAGCUAGAGAGGCUGUCUGAAUAAAGACAGGUUGUGGGUAGCUAGAGAGGUAGUCUGACUAAAGACAGGUUGUGGGUUGCUAGAGAGGCUGUCUGAGUAAAGGCAGGUUUUAUUUUUUAUUUUACCUUUAUUUAACUAGGCAAGUCAGUUCAGAACAAAUUCUUAUUUUCAAUGACGGCCUAGGAACAGUGGGUUAACUGCCUGUU